GAGUUUGAUCAUGGCUCAGGAUGAACGCUAGCGGCAGGCUUAACACAUGCAAGUCGAGGGGUAUAGUAGCAAUACUAGAGACCGGCGCACGGGUGCGUAACGCGUAUGCAAUCUACCUUUUGCAGGGGAAUAGCCCAGAGAAAUUUGGAUUAAUGCCCCAUAGUACUACAACUUGGCAUCAAGAUGUAUUUAAAGUAACAACGGCAAAAGAUGAGCAUGCGUCCCAUUAGCUAGUUGGUAAGGUAACGGCUUACCAAGGCUACGAUGGGUAGGGGUCCUGAGAGGGAGAUCCCCCACACUGGUACUGAGACACGGACCAGACUCCUACGGGAGGCAGCAGUGAGGAAUAUUGGUCAAUGGGCGCAA
rnacentral:rRNA from 1 species